rnacentral:lncRNA from 1 species
CAGCGCUGCUCUGGCAGCCGCUCAGAUCAAGACUAAACAGUUGGCUCCGUUUCAACACGGCUGCCAAGAUUUGGCAACCAGAGAGCUGCGGGGAAGCAGCAGGCUGCUAAACCCUUUCACAUUUUUAAUUAGAUCCACACACCCAUGUCUUUGAGCCAUCAUAAAUAUACAGAUGACACACUAAAGACAUUGAGCUCAAGGGAGAAGAGGACAGGAGGGUUUGAUUCCAUCACAACCUGAGUAAUCACCUUACGAAGCACACAAGAGGCUAGCUGUCUCCAAAGGAGCUCCCUGUAAGAGACUGGUAAAACCCAGCAUCUGGUGCCAAUGCUAUUUUAAAUGCUAUAUUGCUGAAAAUUAAAGUUAAUGACAAAAACUCCACAAGGAUGAACGAAAUAGCGAAAUUUGAAGUCAAGAUGUAAUCCUAUGCAGGGUGGAUGCACCUUUCUUGCUUCACUGUAAGUUGCUACAUGUCUGCUGAUUUUAUU